GCUCAAAUUUGAAAUCUCAGCGCAAGCUGCGAAUUGUAGUUUAGAGAAACGUUUUCGGGGCCGGCAGCCAGUACAAGUUCUUUGGAACAAGGCAUCACAGAGGGUGAAAAUCCCGUCUUUGACUGGCUGCUUGGUUCCAUGUGAUACGUUUUCCAAGAGUCGGUUUGUUUGGGAAUGCAGACCAAAAUGGGUGGUAAAUACCAUCUAAAGCUAAAUAUUGGCGAGAGACCGAUAGCGAACAAGUACCGUGAGGGAAAAGAUGAAAAGAACUUUGAAAAGAGAGUUAAACAGUGCGUGAAAUUGUCAAAAGGGAAACGUUUAAAACCAGUAUUGCGGGCAGAAACUCAGGUUCCAUUUAUGGUGCUGUAUUUUUCUGUCGGCGAGUCAACAUCAGUUUUGCUUGGAGUAAAACGCCACGGGGAAGGUAGCCUUCGGGUGUUAUAGCCUCUGGUAAUGCUCUGGGCGGGACUGAGGACUGCAGCGUUCUUUGGGUCUACCACACCAACGCUUAGGAUGUUGACGAAAUGGUUUUAAGCGACCCGUCUUGAAACACGGACCAAGGAGUCUAACAUAUAUGCGAGGUAUUUGGGUGGCAAACCCUUAUGCGUAAUGAAAGUGAAAAGGUGGGAUCCUUUGCUGGUGCACCAUCGACCGCGCCAAUUAGUUGCUAUCUCGGCGUGAGUAUGAGCAUACAUGUUGGGACCCGAAAGAUGGUAACUAUGCCUGAAUAGGGUGAAGCCAGAGGAACUCUGGUGGAGGCUCGUAGCGGUUCUGACGUGCAAAUCAGUCGUCAAAUUUGGGAAGGGGCAGAAAGCAU
rnacentral:rRNA from 2 species